UUUCAAUUGCAUGCCCCUUUGGCUUCGAAAUUCAAACCUCAACUGCGUUUUCCCCCAAUUUCCCUUUGGUUUUUGCUUGAACUGAUUGAUUCAAGUCCGUUUACUGCUUGUCCAUUGCCUGCCCCUUUAGCUUUCGCCACGAUUGUGGAUUGCUGAUUGCCUGCUUUGUGUUGACCAAAUCACAAAUCUACAAUCUCUCUCUCAGACUUUUACCCGUAGUUAUCACUUUUCACUUUUGAUUGUUUUGUGAAUUAUGUUUUUUAUAUUAUGUAUUGUUUGUUUUUUGAUUUUCAGAUAAGCAAUCACUUUGCAUCAAAAGUCAAAUAACUUGCAUGAUAUAAUUAUAAUUAUGGCAGUGUUUAUACACUUGAUUUGUCUCGUGAACGAGUUAAAUAAACGCAAUUUUAUUUGUUAUACACAGGGUGCAGCUUUAGCUAUGGACGAAUCAAUCUUAUCUGAUUAUCAAGUAGAGAAUCUUAUCAAAUUUUGUCCUACUAAACAAGAAAUGGAGCUUCUCAUGAAUUUUGCAGGUAGCAGGGAGAUGCUGGAAAAAUGUGAUCUUCUUCAUUCCUGUAUUUCUAUCUUUUUAUGCAACUUUUAAUUCUCAUAAUUUUUUAAAUUUUAUUUCUGAGUUCUUCAUGGAGCUCAUGAAGGUGCCACAUGUUGGAUCAAUAUUACGAUAUUGUCUGUCAAAAAUUCAAUUUGACAUCCAGGUUUCAGAGUUUAAGAAGAGUUUAAACACAGUAAAUUCGGCAUGUGAUGAGGUUCCGACUUGUAUGAAAUUAAAGGAGGUCGAGUAUUUGGAGUUUUUUUGUAAAAAUAGGUUAGUUUUCAAAAAACAUUGUAAAAAUAGGUUAGUUUUAAAAUGUAUUGUAGAAAUAGGGUUCUUUUUAGUUGGGCCCACUCUAUUUG